GACACCUGAUCAACAAGGAAUCAAAGAUUUUUAUCCUCAUACUAACGAUCACAAAUAUGUUCAUAUAGUGAUGACCAAGCCUCCACAUUUGCCAAAAACCUCCUAGGAUCUGAAAUAUCAAGUAAAACCGUCAAGUUAGCUAAGGACUGAAUGUCCCGUGCUGAAUGUCGAGCAUUAAGCUCCUGUCGGGUCAUAAGAUGCAGAAGGCUGCUUGAUCAGUGAAAAUCUCAUAAUGC
rnacentral:lncRNA from 1 species